rnacentral:tRNA from 1 species
GGGAAUGCGUCAACGUUGGAGCGUUGAGCCAGUCUGUAAAACUGGUGCUUAGGCAAAGUAGGUUCGAAUCCUAUCAUUCCCA